rnacentral:rRNA from 1 species
GUGAAAUCCUGGAGCUCAACUUCGGAACUGCCUUCGAUACUGGSAAGCUAGAGUACGGUAGAGGUGAGUGGAAUUCCUAGUGUAGAGGUGAAAUGCGUAGAUAUUCGGAAGAACACCGGUGGCGAAGGCGGCUCACUGGACCGUUACUGACGCUGAGGCGCGAAAGCGUGGGGAGCAAACAGGAUUAGAUACCCUGGUAGUCCACGCCGUAAACGAUGGAUGCUAGCCGUUG